AACGCACAUUGCGCCCCUUGGUAUUCCGAGGGGCAUGCCUGUUCGAGCGUCAUUACAACCCUCAAGCAUUGCUUGGUAUUAGGCUCCGCUGCUUACCCAGCGAGCCUUAAAAUCAGUGGCGGUGCUGUCGAGGCCCUGAGCGUAGUAAACAUCCUCGCUAUAGGAACUCGGUGGACGCUGGCCAUCAACCCCCAACUUUCUAAGUUUGACCUCGGAUCAGGUAGGGAUACCCGCUGAACUUAA
rnacentral:misc_RNA from 1 species